AUUCAUGUAAAUCACUCCUCAUUUUCGUCUUGGUGAUAGCCAUUACAUUGAAAUUCUGAUUGAUGUUUAAGGAAAACUUCCUUUGCGGAGAAAUGCUUGCACAAUAAUGAUAAAUUGGGGGCUUUCAGCAAUACAUAAUUAAAAGAAUUUAAAUCUAGAUAGGUAUACCCAAAUUUGGGGUAGAUGUGUUGUUUUUUUUUCCUAAUCCAAGACCAAAAGGUAAGAAUCUGUUGCAGUUUUAGAAAAAUAAGAGAGAAUGAUAGCCUAUAAGCAAUUUAAAUAACACACUGGACUGUUUAACAACAUUAGCAUCUGGAAAAUUUCCCUUUAUAUAUCCUUAACUUUAUUCUAAGCAGAGAUAGAGAGUGACUGGUGACCAUUCUCUGUUUACACUUGCAAGGUCAUUAAAGUCUAGCACCACAGAAUGACACGACUCAGGGGACACAUAAAUGACCUGACAUUUUUCACUUUG
rnacentral:lncRNA from 1 species